rnacentral:rRNA from 1 species
AGGGCACCACCAGGAGUGGAGCCUGCGGCUUAAUUUGACUCAACACGGGGAAACUCACCCGGCCCGGACACUGGAAGGAUUGACAGACUGAGAGCUCUUUCUUGAAUCGGUGGGUGGUGGUGCAUGGCCGUUCUUAGUUGGUGGAGUGAUUUGUCUGGUUAAUUCCGAUAACGAACGAGACUCUAGUCUGCUUACUAUGUUCAUUUGUUGCUUUCAACUUUGUUAUGCGUCACCCGUAAAACGGUGGCAAUUAGCAGACGCGAGAGACAUCACAAAUGAGACUUCUUAGAGAGACUGGCGGUGUUUUAGCCGCACGAAGUAGAGCAAUAACAGGUCUGUGAUGCCCUUAGAUGUCCGGGGCCGCACGCGCGCUACACUGAAAGGUGAAGCGUGCUUCUAUUUAGUCCUGCGCCGAAAGGCGUGGGCAACCCGUUGAACCCCUUUCGUGAUGGGGAUAGGGGCUUGUAAUUGUUGCCCUUGAACGAGGAAUUCCCAGUAGGCGCGAUUCAUCCAGAUCGC